rnacentral:rRNA from 1 species
UACGAAGGGGGCUAGCGUUGCUCGGAAUCACUGGGCGUAAAGCGCACGUAGGCGGACUCUUAAGUCGGUGGUGAAAUCCUGGAGCUCAACUCCAGAACUGCCUUCGAUACUGAGAGUCUCGAGUCCGGGAGAGGUGAGUGGAACUGCGAGUGUAGAGGUGAAAUUCGUAGAUAUUCGCAAGAACACCAGUGGCGAAGGCGGCUCACUGGCCCGUACUGACGCUGAGGUGCGAAAGCGUGGGGGAGCAAACAGG